UACGUAGGGGGCAAGCGUUGUCCGGAUUUAUUGGGCGUAAAGAGCGUGUAGGCGGCUUUACAGGUCCGUUGUGAAAACUCGAGGCUCAACCUCGAGACGCCGGUGGAAACCGUAAAGCUAGAGUCCGGAAGAGGAGAGUGGAAUUCCUGGUGUAGCGGUGAAAUGCGCAGAUAUCAGGAAGAACACCCGUGGCGAAGGCGGGUCUCUGGGCAACAACUGACGCUGAGGAGCGAAAGCGUGGGGAGCAAACGGG
rnacentral:rRNA from 1 species